CACGGGGUUGCGAGCGUUGUCCGGAAUUACUAGGCGUAAAGGGCAGGCAGGCGGAUCCAUAAGUUUAUCGUUUAAGGCGUCGGCUUAACCGGCGUAGGGCGGUAGAUACUGUGGAUCUGGAAUGCGGUUGGGGAAGACAGAAUUCCUGGUGUAGCGGUGGAAUGCGCAGAGAUCAGGAGGAAUACCGAAGGCGAAGGCAGUCUUCCAAGCCGUUAUUGACGCUCAACUGCGAAUGUGUGGGUAUCAAACAGGAUUAGAUACCCUGGUAGUCCCU
rnacentral:rRNA from 1 species